rnacentral:rRNA from 1 species
GAUGAACGCUGGCGGCGUGCCUAAUACAUGCAAGUCGAGCGAACAGACGAGGAGCUUGCUCCUCUGACGUUAGCGGAGGACGGGUGAGUAACACGUGGAUACCCUACCUAUAAGACUGGGAUAACUUCGGGAAACCGGAUCUAACACCGGAUAAUAUAUUGAACCGCAUGGUUCAAUAGUGAAAGACGGUUUUGCUGUCACUUAUAGAUGGAUCCGCGCCGCAUUAGCUAGUUGGUAAGGUAACGGCUUACCAAGGCAACGAUGCGUAGCCGACCUGAGAGGGUGAUCGGCCACACUGGAACUGAGACACGGUCCAGACUCCUACGGGAGGCAGCAGUAGGGAAUCUUCCGCAAUGGGCGAAAGCUUGACGGAGCAACGCCGCGUGAGUGAUGAAGGUCUUCGGAUCGUAAAACUCUGUUAUUAGGGAAGAACAAAUGUGUAAGUAACUAUGCACGUCUUGACGGUACCUAAUCAGAAAGCCACGGCUAACUACGUG